ensembl:rRNA 5S_rRNA 5S ribosomal RNA
GGCGGCAGCAAUAUCACCCUGUAGCCCAAGACUGGUUGCCCACUGAAGCUAAGCAGGGCUGAGCCUGGUCAGUACCUGGAUGGGAGACCUCCUGGGAAAACUAGGUUGCUGCUGGAA